rnacentral:rRNA from 1 species
GAUGAACGCUGGCGGCGUGCCUAAUACAUGCAAGUCGAGCGAAUGGAUUAAGAGCUUGCUCUUAUGAAGUUAGCGGCGGACGGGUGAGUAACACGUGAGUAACCUGCCCUUGACGCUGGGAUCACUGCGGGACACUGUAGCUAAUACCGGAUACGACCCACGGCGGCAUCUCCUGGGGGUGGAAAGAUUUCCGGCCAAGGAUGGACUCGGGGCCUAUCAGCUAGUUGGUGAGGUAAAGGCUCACGAAGGCGACGACGGGUAGCCGACAUGAGAGGGUGACCGGCCACACUGGGACUGAGGCACGGCCCAGACUCCUACGUGAGGCAGCAGUGGGGAAUAUUGCACAAUGGGCGCAAGCCUGAUGCAGCAACGCCGCGUGAGGGAUGACGGCCUUCGGGUUGUAAACCUCUUUUAGCAGGAAAGAAGCGAAAGUGACGGUACCUGCAGAAAAAGCACCGGCUAACUACGUGCCAGCCGCCGCCGUAA